GAUGCACUCCUCUUCUGCAUGGGUUGACGGAUGAAGAGUUCACAGUGUUAUGCUGCAUCAGGUCAAGGUCACAAGCAUUCAAGACCCCGACGUGUUUCCAGAUUGGAACUAACAUGCUCCAAAACUGUCCAAGCGCCUCCCUUCCAUUGUGGUUGAGCCCAUUGGCGAUAAUGUCACCCAACGGCAGGUGACAGGCCGACCGGUGGAGGGGGUGGACUCUCAGGAGCUAGGGAUGGGCGGAGUCUAACAUGUCCAGCUUUGGCCCGGUGAAGAGGUGGAGCCAACACACCUGAGAAGACCUUAGGAGAGAGAUUCCUAACACAAACAAUCAGUAAUAACGAUUAAAUGCAUUCAUGUUAUUUUUAUUGGUAUUUUUGAGGAAACGUCCUAUUUGCUUCUAGUGGUAUUUCCACAGGUCAAUAAACAGCUUGAAUGAAAA